CCGAGUUUACAACUCCCAAACCCCUGUGAACAUACCUAUACGUUGCCUCGGCGGAUCAGCCCGCGCCCGUAAAAAGGGACGGCCCGCCCGAGGACCCCUAAACUCUGUUUUUAGUGGAACUUCUGAGUAAAACAAACAAAUAAAUCA
rnacentral:misc_RNA from 1 species